ACACACACUUUCCGCUAGUUCGCUGAAUUUUUGCGCGGCCGGCCACCCGCUUGACCCUCCCGCGCUUCUGCAGGGUACGCCCUUGGCUUUUCAGGGCACCCACCCAACGCCCGCUCCAAAAACACCGGCCGGCACUUCCGGGAGCAACAGAACCAGGAACUUCGGCUUUAUUUCCCCCUUCUCCCUCCCGUUACAACAGUAGUCCUAAAGAUGAUCUAUACUGAAAGAGAGAAGAGGAAGUUUGAAGCCAGAUAAUGUUUGGAAUAACUUCUACAGAGCGUGUAAUAGAAGACCAGUCAGGAAGAAUAAAAAGUAUUGCCUGCACCAAUUUUUGUCCAGUAGGGACUAGACUGCCUCAAUUUGUAGUGAAUCCAUUUGGCAAUUUUUUUCAUGCCUUCCUCAGUGUUUCAAAGCAGUUGAGGAAGGUUUGGAGCCAGAUAUGGGUGGGGGGAGUUAAGAAUUGAGGUUAAGUUAGAGUACAAAGUAUUCUCUGUAUUACAAUGGUGAGAGUACAAGGUAACAAGAGAUUCACUGGUAUCUCCAACUACUCAAGUAUAAUAUAAAGACUGAAGGAAGUGAUAGACGAUUGGAAGAAUAGCUUUGAAGAGAAUAUGAUAAAGCAAAACCAGUUGAAAUUCUUUGAAUAAUACCGUGAAAUAUAGAGAAAUCAAUGAUUCCUAUGAGACAGCAAGACUAGAACAAAAUAAAAAGACCAGAAAAGUAAAAGAGAUUUUAAGAUCUCAUGUCAAAAAAGAAAUGAUCUGGUGAAGAGUUCGAGGGAAAAGUAUUUCGAGUCAUUUGAUCCCCUCAAAGUCAUAAUAAAAAAAAAGAAAAACUAAACCCAUCCACUAUAUUGCAAGAAGUUAUAAAUGAAAUUUAACCAACUUUAUUAAAAGCAGAAGAAAUAGACGAAUCAGCCCAUUAUUUCCUGAAAGGAACCCCGAAAGAAAAAGUCCCAGGAAUAUCAAAGCCAAAAUCUUAAAAGCAUCAACGUCAAGUAAGGGGGAAAAAAAAAUACUGAAUUCAUCUAGAAAUAAGUAGUUCAAGUACUAAGUAAUUACAGUCAGCAUCCCGCAGGGUGCCAGCUUCUAAUAAAAAUGAGAGAUUUUGAAAUACAAUAUUCCACAAGCCGAGAUAAUUCUUACAGAAAAACUUACUCUGCACAACGGAGUAUUCUAUGCUGCAAGGGGAGAAAUGGAUCUUGAAUUGUCGAGCAACUCUGACGAAGAGGUCCACAAGAAUAAAGGAAAACCAGGAAAGGUGAAGUUUCAUUGAGCAAUAUUGAAAGGAGUAUAAAAGUUAAGUAGUGUUAAUAUUUGGAGAGACAGGUGUGUGUGGGGGUGUCCUUUCAAAACUUUAAUAUCUUCAAAAGGAAUUGAGAUAAAGAAAAACAGAGGUCCCAGGAUUGAAUUAGUUCUGCUGUGAAUGUCUGAAGAGGAAAGAGUUAAGGGUUCAAAAAUGUAUAUACUAGUUAUAGAAGGUAGAAAGGCUGAGGUGGGUUAGAAAUUGCUCUCUCUCAUACUUGCGGUAGUUUUAAGAAUAUCAAACAUGGAGGAUGAGGUGGGGAAUUAGGGACUUAUGAACAUUAUCUGAAAUGGACAAAGGAUGAUUAAACACACCUGAAUUUGGUUUAGAAAUACAUCAAAUCCAACAUACAAAAGAGAAGUAGGGAAGGCUAAAAACAUAUGUAGACAUAUUGGGAAGGAUACUCACAAGUAUAACCCAACUUCCUGAUCCUUAUGGAGAGAUUAAAAGGGCAAGUCAAAAGAAUAAGAAUUUAAUGGAGUACCUAUUAGAUUUCUUAGGAAAUUUCGGAAUGAUUCAAUUGUAUAAUGUUCAUUGAAUGGAAUGUUAUUUUGAUGUAAGAAAUGAAAUUUCAGAUAUGAUAGACACCUGUACAGUGAUAUGGAAUGAAGAUACCCAAUUUUAUAUAAAAUCUUUUUGAAUGGGGGAAGGGAAGAAAAGAGAAAGGAAUUGUCUUGAAAUAUAAGUAAAGGGGAGAGAUUUUAAAGACUUCAGAAGAAUUCCUGGAAAUCACUGAAAACAUUUAUUUUUAAGAUUAACAUGCAUUUUCCUGUUCUUUCCAUAUCCAUCAUCAUUUAAAAGAAAAAAGAAAAAUAUCCUUAACAAACACGUCCCACAUUGGUUAUGUCCCAAAACUUGUGUAUCAUUUUGCAUCUUGAGUCUCAUCAACUCUGUCAGGAGCUGGGAAACAUGUUUCAUCGCUCAUCCUCUGGAAGCAUGUUUGGGUUUGAUUGUAGUGAAGUUUUCAAAGCUAUUUGUCUUCCAUUGUUGUUAUAUAAAUUCUUCUGUUUUUGUUCACUCUGCAUCACUUCAUAUAGGUGUUGUCAUGUCUCAUUUCCUACAUAUGGCAUAAUAGUAUUUUAUUAUUACAUAUUACAUACAUUUAUCGCAUCAUAAUUUGUUUAGCAGUUCUUCAGUUGAUGUGUACCCCUUUCAUUUGAGGUCUUUGCAAAAAUAAAAAUUGCUGCUAUAAAUA